UACGUAGGCGGAAAUCUAAGUCAGUGGUGAAAUCCCGCAGCUCAACUGUGGAACUGUCAUUGAUACUGGUUUUCUUGAAUAUAGUUGAGGUAGGCGGAAUGUGUAAUGUAGCGGUGAAAUGCUUAGAUAUUACACAGAACACCGAUUGCGAAGGCAGCUUACUAAACUAUGAUUGACGCUGAGGUACGAAAGCGUGGGAGCGAACAGGAUUAGAUACCCUGGUAGUCC
rnacentral:rRNA from 1 species